GAGCCGGUAGCUCAGUCGGUAGAGCAACGGCCUUUUAAGCCGUGGGUCGAGGGUUCGAGCCCCUCCCGGCUCACCA
rnacentral:tRNA from 1 species